CGCCGGCCGAGACAGCACAGACAGACCAACCCGUUGGGGUGUUUCGCGAGUGUGAGACGUAAGCGCCGUGGCCUGCAUUUCCAGACCUGCCCUUCACCUGGUUCAUGGCACCUUGUAAACCCCGGCCCCUGCCACCUGCAAGUCGGUAACCGCGCUGCACUCCUGUGCUGCGGCCUGUGGCUGGACUGCCUGUGACACCCUGCCUGCUGCUGCCCGACUGGCUGGCAAGAUUAAGCUUUCCCUGGUGGCUGCGAUGCUGCUG
rfam:Macaca mulatta chromosome 1, whole genome shotgun sequence.